GAUGAACGCUGGCGGCGUGCCUAAUACAUGCAAGUCGAGCGAACGGACGAGAAGCUUGCUUCUCUGAUGUUAGCGGCGGACGGGUGAGUAACACGUGGAUAACCUACCUAUAAGACUGGGAUAACUUCGGGAAACCGUAGCUAAUACCGGAUAAUAUUUUGAACCGCAUGGUUCAAAAGUGAAAGACGGUCUUGCUGUCACUUAUAGAUGGAUCCGCGCUGCAUUAGCUAGUUGGUAAGGUAACGGCUUACCAAGGCAACGAUGCAUAGCCGACCUGAGAGGGUGAUCGGCCACACUGGAACUGAGACACGGUCCAGACUCCUACGGGAGGCAGCAGUAGGGAAUCUUCCGCAAUGGGCGAAAGCCUGACGGAGCAACGCCGCGUGAGUGAUGAAGGUCUUCGGAUCGUAAAACUCUGUUGUUAGGGAAGAACAUAUGUGUAAGUAACUGUGCACAUCUUGACGGUACCUAAUCAGAAAGCCACGGCUAACUACGUG
rnacentral:rRNA from 1 species